AACAGGAGUUCCAGUGGAGGCCGGAAGGCGGCAUGGCAGUAGGGAGGUUAGCUGGUGUGUGCUGCUACACUAAUCUGCUUAUAUCGCUGGAAUCCUUCUGUGAACAUCAAUUCCACACACGGAUCAUCCACUAAAACAUCCCUGGACAUCACACAGCUGCAAAAACUGGUUAUCAGGAGCAUUAAACACAACUAAGGAGAGCGGUGGCCGGCUAGUGACAUGGCAGUGGUGUUGUGUGAGGACUGCUGUGCUGCCACCUAGAAGUCUGCAAAAGAACAUUGUGAUACCGACUAGAAAUGACACGACGAAAUUUGCAGUUGCUAUGUCGCGUAGGUCAAGACGCGUGACCUGACACGACCCAGGUGAGGGACCCAAGGGGAAAUGACGACCAGGUGAGGACCACCACCACAACCCCACCUUAAAUGGACUUCACAACGUGAAUAGUGUAGUUGUCUGAAUGUACUAUAGUACGUACUUCAUGCCGUGUUUACGUUGUUGUCGGUGGUGGCAGCUAUCUGUUUAUCAUGUUUCUUUUCUGAAGUUCACAAGGACACGUAAAGGAUUUUUUCAUCGGAUAAUCUAAUCACUAUCGUUUUGAUGCUUAGCAGAUGUUGCUGCGGCCAUGAUCAGGGAUCAAAAUUUAGUGCCGAGAGGAGAAACGGAGGAAGGAUGAGGCAUUUGCGUCCAGUGUUGCCAGAUUGUCAGAAAUUUUUGGAUAUCUUCUGAAAUUUUGACAUUUUGUCAGAAAUUAAGAAAUUAUUGUAAACUCUACAGAAAAUUUGACAAAUUGUCAAAUUUUGGUUUGUCCUCCCAAAAUAAAAUUUUAGCAGCCAUAUACUCCUAUAUCACGGCAAGACCCGAUGACAUAAUGCCGCAUGAACUAAUUUAUACACAGAAACCACAUUCAAGGCUCUCUCGUACCCAUAGAACUUGCCAGCCAACCCAGCAAUGUAUGAGAACCUCCGUGGUGCCAGCGGGCAGCGCCUGUGGUUAUCCAUUGCUACUGUGUUCAUUGAAAUGUCCAUUUUGGAUAGAUAAUCUUUGUGUAUAGAAGUCAAUAAGAUUGUACACUACCUCGUGGUAUAACUACUAUAUAAUACCUAGUAAAUUAUAUUUAUAUAACCUCAAUUACUCGUACCUUAAUUUACGCUUUGUUACUGUGUUAGAUGAAAGAAUGUGUCUUUAUUUAUGAUGAUCUUUCUAUGUUGUUCCGUAGCAGUCAAUGUGGUGCAAUUGAAUUAACUGCUUAAUUUUAAUUAAUUGAUUAAAACUAUUGAAUGAGUUGACGUGCUGUUAUUGAAUAAUAUGCUCUCUCAUGACUAGAUCUGUUUAUGGUUUCUGUGUUAUUUGAAAGACUACCUUUUUAUUUGUGAUAUUAUGAUACACAUCUGUAAAAUCAGGAUAAUACAGAUGUAAAUACAUUCAUGAGUUAUAGAUGCAAUUGUUUUCAAUAUCCUUGUAGAAAACAUUUCAUAUGGUAUAUAUUUAAUGAAUAUAAAACAAUACGCACUGCAUUCAUUGUAUUUUAACGUAUU